GACGAACCGUGCGAACGUUAUUCGGAAUUACUGGGCGUAAAGCGUGCGCAGGCGGUUUUGUAAGCCAGAUGUGAAAUCCCCGGGCUUAACCUGGGAAUGGCAUUUGGGACUGCAAGGCUGGAGUGCGGCAGAGGAGACUGGAAUUCCUGGUGUAGCAGUGAAAUGCGUAGAUAUCAGGAGGAACACCGAUGGCGAAGGCAGGUCUCUGGGCUGACACUGACGCUCAUGCACGAAAGCGUGGGGAGCAAACAGG
rnacentral:rRNA from 1 species